rnacentral:rRNA from 1 species
UGGGGAAUUUUGCACAAUGGGGGAAACCCUGAUGCAGCGACGCCGCGUGAUUUAGAAGGCCUUCGGGUUGUAAAAAUCUUUCCUAUGGGAAGAAAAUGACAGUAUCAUAGGAAUAAGGACCGGCUAAUUACGUGCCAGCAGCCGCGGUAAUACGUAAGGUCCGAGCGUUGUCCGGAAUCAUUGGGCGUAAAGGGUACGUAGGCGGGUAAGCAAGUUAGAAGUGAAAUCCUAUAGCUCAACUAUAGUAAGCUUUUAAAACUGCUCAUCUUGAGGUAUGGAAGGGAAAGUGAAAUUCCUAGUGUAGCGGUGAAAUGCGCAGAUAUUAGGAGGGAUACCGGUGGCGAAGGCGACUUUCUGGCCAUAACCUGACGCUGAGGUACGAAAGCGUGGGUAGCAAACAGG